rnacentral:rRNA from 1 species
AAACGACUCUCGGCAACGGAUAUCUCGGCUCUCGCAUCGAUGAAGAACGUAGCGAAAUGCGAUACUUGGUGUGAAUUGCAGAAUCCCGUGAACCAUCGAGUCUUUGAACGCAAGUUGCGCCCGAAGCCAUCCGGCCGAGGGCACGUCUGCCUGGGUGUCACGCAACGUCGCCCCCCCCGUCAAACGAGCCCCCGACACGGCGGGCGAGGGGGGCGGAAUCUGGCCUCCCGGGAUCCCCCGAUCGCGGUUGGCCCAAAAGAAAGGGUCCCGGCGACGGCGGCCGCGACGAUCGGUGGUUGACAGACCCUCGGAAGCAGUCGCGCCCGACCGUCACCCGAGGGAGCCCCACAGGCCCCUGCGCCUCCCCGCUCCGGGGAACGAACGCUCCGUACGCGACCCCAGGUCAGGCGGGACCACCCGCUGAGUUUAAGCAUAUCAAUAAGCGGAGGAAAAGAAACUUACCAGGAUUCCCCUAGUAACGGCGAGCGAACCGGGAAGAGCCC